UUUCUCUACGUCACCAUUGACGCUAAAUACACAUGAUCUGCGUAUUGUAAGCUCAAAUUGUACAACAUUCUUUUUUCUACAAUAAACAAAAAUUAUCGAGCUUUGUUAAAGUUCGCGAAUAGUUUUGGGAUGGUACUAUGUAGUGACAAUUAGGUUCAAAUUUGGAUAUUAUCAUUCAACUUAAUAAUAAAAGUUUUUUAAGCUAUAGUAGAACGAGCCCCGAAUUUAAUAAAAUUUGUUAGUUAUCAAUCAAAAU